UUUAAACGCAGCCAUAAGUUUCCGUGUAUUGCCUGUCUUAUUUAAAAUUUUUGUAAGAUUGGUAUUUUUAUUGUUAUUAAAUGAUAAAACAUGAAUAGUAUUUUAUGUAUGACUUUUGUUUUUUAAUUAAUUUUUAAAAAGUUUUCAGAUCAGACAAAUGAUUAAAGUUGGACACGAAAAUUCAUGGUUGCGUUUAAA
rfam:Oryza rufipogon genomic scaffold, chr03